GAUGAAGAACGCAGCGAAAUGCGAUAAGUAGUGUGAAUUGCAGAAUUCAGUGAAUCAUCGAAUCUUUGAACGCACAUUGCGCCCUUUGGUAUUCCAAAGGGCAUGCCUGUUCGAGCGUCAUUUGUACCCUCAAGCUUUGCUUGGUGUUGGGCGUCUUGUCUCUAGCUUUGCUGGAGACUCGCCUUAAAGUAAUUGGCAGCCGGCCUACUGGUUUCGGAGCGCAGCACAAGUCGCACUCUCUAUCAGCAAACGUCUAGCAUCCACUAAGCCUUUUUUUCAACUUUUGACCUCGGAUCAGGUAGGGAUACCCGCUGAACUUAAGCAUAUCAAUAAGCGGAGGA
rnacentral:misc_RNA from 1 species